GACAGGAGGGUGCUAGCGUUGUUCGGAAUUACUGGGCGAAAGGGCGCGUAGGCGGUCUGUUAAGUUACGGUCGGUGAAAAUCCCCCUGGCUUCAACUGGGGAACUGCGCUGAAAACUGGCGGACUCGAGGUACCGGAAGAGGAGAGUGGAAUUCCUGGAUGUAGCGGUGAAAUGCGUAGAUAGUCAGGAGGAACACCGGUGGCGAAGGCGGCUCUCUG
rnacentral:rRNA from 1 species